ACCGGCGCACGGGUGAGUAACACGUAUGCAACCUACCUUCAACAGGAGAAUAACCCGUCGAAAGACGGACUAAUACUCCAUAACACAGGGAUCCCGCAUGGGAAUAUUUGUUAAAGAUUUUUUCGGUAGAAGAUGGGCAUGCGUUCCAUUAGCUAGUUGGUUGAGGUAACGGCUCACCAAGGCAACGAUGGAUAGGGGAACUGAGAGGUUUAUCCCCCACACUGGUACUGAGACACGGACCAGACUCC
rnacentral:rRNA from 1 species